rnacentral:tRNA from 2 species
CGGGGCGUGGCGCAGCCUGGUAGCGCGCCUGCUUUGGGAGCAGGAAGCCGGGGGUUCAAAUCCCUCCGCCCCGACCA